UACGUAGGGUGCGAGCGUUACUCGGAAUUACUGGGCGUAAAGCGUGCGCAGGCGGUUCGUGAUGUCUGGUGUGAAAGCCCCGGGCUCAGCCCGGGAAGGGCGCUCGAAACGGCGCGGCUCGAGUGCCGGAGGGGAGAGUGGAAUUCCUGGUGUAGCGGUGAAAUGCGUAGAUAUCAGGAGGAACACCCGUGGCGAAAGCGGCUCUCUGGGACGGUACUGACGCUGAGACGCGAAAGCCAGGGGAGCGAACGGG
rnacentral:rRNA from 1 species